CCCUUAGAUGUUCUGGGCCGCACGCGUGCUACACUGAGUGGAUCAGCGGGUCAGGUUGCGCGUAAGUGUUUCCUAAUCUUUAAAUCCGCUCGUGAUGGGGAUUGACGGUUGCAAUUUUCCGUCAUGAACGAGGAAUACCUUGUAAGCGCGGGUCAUCAUCCCGCGCUGAAUACGUCCCUGCCCUUUGUACACACCGCCCGUCGCUCCUACCGAUUGAGUGGUCCGGUGAGGCUUUGGGAUCUGAGCGGAAAGAGCGUUUCGCUGUUUCUGCCCGGAAAACUCAGUCGAACCUUAUCAUUUAGAGGAAGGAGAAGUCGUAACA
rnacentral:rRNA from 1 species